UGCCUUCAGUGUUGCCCGUUCGUUUUGGUUGCUAAUGAACGUGGUGUCAGAGAAGGCAUAAAACAAAUCCCCCCCUUGCAGCUUUUUCCUAAGCUAGGAAUUGUUCCUAGCAGGCUUGCUGUAUGUGGGACAUCU
ensembl:snoRNA small nucleolar RNA SNORA13